ensembl:snRNA U6 U6 spliceosomal RNA
GUGCUCGCUUCAGCAGCACAUACACUAAACCUGGGACUGUACGAGAAGGUUAGCAUAGGCCCUAUGCAAGGAUGACAUGCAAAUUCCUGAAAUGGUCCAUACUUUU